rfam:Calothrix sp. HK-06 NIES-2101_Scaffold_7, whole genome shotgun sequence.
GUUGUACUGCAACGUUGGUGACUGCCAUCAAGUUUUUUGAUCUAUGUCUUUAAGAAUUCGGGAACCGAUUAUUGUUCGUGGCAGUAGACCGAGCUUGUACUCGGAAACUUUAAACGAAACACAAGGCUCCCACCUGGUUAUACCAGGUCAUAAACUUAGGUAAAACGGCGUCGCGGUAUGACA